rnacentral:lncRNA from 1 species
CCCACCUAAACCCUAACUUUCUCUCCACUCACAGCCCCUCCGCCCCCAAGCGCCGCUCCUCACAUACCUAGCGUCGCUCCACCAUCUUAUCUCAAUCUGUCCCCCUCAAACCCGCCGCAGCAAGAUCUGAAGCCAAAGUUCAAGUAGGGGAACGACAAUUGUAUUGCAGUCAUUUGGUUGCUAUUGGAGUGACGGACAUCGUGAUAGUAGUUGCAACGACAAUACCCCACCCGGUGGAGGAAACAAUACUUGUAUCCGAUUCUUCAUUUUUUACAAUAUUAUUUAUAUUUCUACCUUAUUAAUGAAAAUAAUAGCUACGGUGUGAAUUAUCU